UACAGAGGGUGCAAGCGUUGCUCGGAAUCAUUGGGCGUAAAGGGUAGGUAGGUGGUCUCAUUUGUGUGGGGUGAAAGCCUUGGGCUUAACUCAAGAAGUGCCCCGCAAACGGUGAGACUGGAGUACUGGAGAGGCUAGCGGAAUUCCCGGUGUAGCGGUGAAAUGCGUAGAGAUCGGGAGGAACACCAGAGGCGAAGGCGGCUAGCUGGAUCUCUUCUGACGCUGAGGCGCGAAAGCCAGGGGAGCGAACGGG
rnacentral:rRNA from 1 species